AUGGACAUAAAGAGAUACUUAAGCAAAAGGGGCUACCAGCGUCUAGACUAUGGCACAACCAGCACCGGCCAACGGAAGAAGAUGCAGAUCAUACGGAUGAGAGGUCCACAUAGAGAUUGGAGGAUCAGAACAAGUCCAAAGCUGAGAUGGAUGAUAAGAUCACCAUUGAAGUUGAUUCCAAAGACUCGUCAAAGGUCUUCUAAAGGUUAUUCUGGUGAUGCAUUUGAGGCCAGGCUUAUAUUUGAGAUUUCCAAGAAUUUGGUCGCUUCUCAUGAACUAUAUUCCAUAUAA
rnacentral:lncRNA from 1 species